ACACACACACACACACACACACACACACACACACACACUUAAAUAUCAGUCCUGCUGGUCUCACAGCAAACCAGUUCUAUGUAGAUUGUCCCCAUUAUCUCUAUAUUUGGAAGUAGUAACCUUCAAUUUCUGGGCCCAGGUACAUACUCUAGGUCUCCUCUGGGAUUAAGAAAUAGUGUGAAUACAGAAUAUCCAGAAAUCAUCAUUUUUACCUAACACAACAGUGAAUAACAAAUAAUAAUUGUGUUAAGAGCGUGUAUUUGGUUCUCCUAAUGUUAUUCUCUUUACCCAAUCUGACUCAUGGAGCUGUGCUCCAUAGUAGAGCAGAAUCCAAUGUGGAUGAGUUAUUUAUGAGGUAGCCUAGCAGAAUGCCUCAGGGCAGAAAACUUUGUGACUUGAAGAUAAAUGAAUGCUCUUAGACGUAAUUAACACAUGCACUGCAUUACAAUUUUAACUCACUCCACGAUGAAUAAGCGUGCUUAACUCAGCAUUUUUCAAACCUUAAUAACAAUUAUUUACAUUGUCAUAAGUUAUGAAUUAGUGUUUUGAAAAAUUCAGUGUUGAGAAUAGUCAAGAAAUGGUAAGAAGGAAGCGUUGACAAUAUGUGAAAGAGUUGACAAUAAAAAAUUCAAAACUCUUCAUGCAUUUGAACGAAGGCAGGGAUAAUACAUUCAGAAAUGAUUGGACAAAGCAGUAGUUACAUUUAUUAUAUAUUUCAUGAGUCAUUUUAGUGUAUAAAUAAAAUAUGUAACUUAAGAGUCGUCAACAAGUUUAGUUUUUUUUCCGAUUCUUAUAUUUGUGUUUUGUGGUCGAAAAUUUGAAAAAGUCAUAUAGUCUUUUAGAAUAGAAGAAAGCAUGGAGAUGAGUUACACUGGAUUCUGAGUUUAUCAGGUAUAGCAUGCUAUCUGCAGUACCUCAACCAUAAAAGAAACUCAUGACCUUUGGAAAACAUUGACAUUCAGAAACAUACCAAUUUCCCUAACUUCAAAGAUUGCCUAAUGCUUUCAAGAAGCCUAAUAGUCAACAUUUCACUUUUUUUCUUUCUUUUUUCUUUUUAAAUUACAGCACAGAUCAGCACUGAUCACCACUGUUUAAAAUGCCUGGUUAGUCCCAACCAGUCAACACAACUAGUGCCAAUGAAGAGAAUCAAAACUACCUCCCCAGCUUUGAAAGUAGGUCAACUUACCGUGCUAAUGCACAAGAGCUGCAGAGUUCUAAAAAUGCUAAGAGGGCAGAAAGGAAUAAAAAGAAUCAGAGCAUGCUGCCCCAUGGUCUCUCCUCCCUUAGUACAUUUAUAUGGUCUAUUCUGAGGCUUGGUCUUGGCCAAAUGCUGCUGGGGAUAAAGACAACAGAGGUAGUAAUUGUCUUGCCUUUUCAUGGAGGUAGUGUUUCAUGGUAAAUUACCUAUAAGAUGAUAAUGAAAUCUAACUCAACCAAAUUCUUCACAACAAAAUUGGCCACAGAAGCCAACAGCAUGAAAUCACCUAAAUCGAAAUAAAACUAUUUAGUUCCAAAGCAACUAUGUUGUAUUAUUGUAUUAGAUGUCAAUACCAGAACAAAAUGUGACUCUGAUAAAAAAAUUCCCCACCAAGCCGUGAGUAUCAGUAUCAUUCAGAGUUCAUGCAUGAUUAAAAUGCAAGUAGUAAUAUGAUACAUAACUAAGCACUCUAAUUUAAUAGGUGCGAAGUGUAGUUCCUGCAUGGGACAGAGCACAUGAUUAGGUGUCUCCAUAUAUUAGGUGUAUCACGUAUUAAUGAGAUGUGAUGAAAUAGUUAAUAUAAAAAUAAUGGGAAAUCGAUAAGCAAAAUUAUAUUAUUGUAUAUACAUAGACUGGGAACACAACUUGUGAACAUUUUGAGUAAGCUCCAAAUUCAACUCAUUUACUUUUAGUUACAGAUAAAAGCUUCAAACUGGUGACAUCCAGUAUUAAUAGUUGGGACUUAACGUCUGUCGUUUCAAAUUAUAUUGCUUGAGAAAAUUGGAACAUGACUUGUCAAGUUCAAUGACACUUUUAUUUCUUUUGAAAGGUAUUGAUAUUAGAUCAGAUUUAUUUAUUAAUGGAACCACUAACAAUGCAAGAGUAUAAUUUUAAGAGUCGAAUAUUUAAAAAGUUGGUAUUAGUUUCAUAAAAUGCAUAUUUACAAUUAGACAUAUUACCUUAAUAUGUUAUUGCUAUUAAUCUCUAGGCUGCAGGAUAGAUUAUCCCUCUUAUGUUUUAAUGUGCUUUUGUGGAGAAUAUGUGAAGAUUUAACGCAGGGAUUUCUACAGAACUAUCCACUGACAAUCGGUAAUCCACUGACAAUAAGUACUCUUUGAAAACUAGGUAGCUUGAGCCUUUAUUAUGUGUGUGAUAUUUGGCAUUACAUCGUUUAGAGUCAAAUUCUUAAGCUGCUCAUUGGUCUCUCAUCUUAUCUCAAAUCAUAUGGACAGAGAAAAUGGGUUAACAGUUGUUUUCUGUCAUCCUGUCAUUUUUUCUGGGAAGGGAGUUCUUCUGCCAACUCUUUCCAGUUGCAGACAGCCUCCUGACUGACAGUUUAAUAACUCACAGACAGUUUAAUAACUGUCUAUUGGGGAAGAUCUUCUAAGUAGAUAUCUAUGGCAAAAUCAGUUCAGCAGCUCCUUGAAAGGCCCCCCUCCCCCUAAAGCCAUGGACAUGGUACAUACC
rnacentral:lncRNA from 1 species